GACGUAGGGCGCGAGCGUUGUCCGGAUUUAUUGGGCGUAAAGAGCUCGUAGGCGGCUUGUCGCGUCGUCCGUGAAACUUGGGGCUCAACCCCAAGCUUGCGGUCGAUACGGGCAGGCUAGAGUCGGUAGGGAGACUGGAAUUCCUGGUGUAGCGGUGAAAUGCGCAGAUAUCAGGAGGAACACCGGUGGCGAAGGCGGGUCUCUGGGCCGAUACUGACGCU
rnacentral:rRNA from 1 species